AUUGAACGCUGGCGGCAGGCCUAACACAUGCAAGUCGAGCGGUUGAGGUAGCUUGCUACCGAUACAGCGGCGGACGGGUGAGUAAUACAUGGGAAUCUGCCUGGUAGUGGGGGACAACGUUUCGAAAGGAACGCUAAUACCGCAUACGCCCUACGGGGGAACGGGGGGGAUCUUCGGACCUCUCGCUAUCAGAUGAGCCCAUGGCAGAUUAGCUUGUUGGUGAGGUAAAGGCUCACCAAGGCGACGAUCUGUAACUGGUCUGAGAGGAUGAUCAGUCACACUGGAACUGAGACACGGUCCAGACUCCUACGGGAGGCAGCAGUGGGGAAUAUUGGACAAUGGGCGCAAGCCUGAUCCAGCCAUGCCGCGUGUGUGAAGAAGGCCUUAGGGUUGUAAAGCACUUUCAGUGGGGAGAAAGGCCUUUUACUUAAUACGUAAGAGGAUUGAUGUUACCCACAGAAGAAGCACCGGCUAACUCCGUGCCAGCCGCCGCCGUAA
rnacentral:rRNA from 1 species